AUUGAACGCUGGCGGCAGGCCUAACACAUGCAAGUCGAACGAGUGGCGGACGGGUGAGUAAUGUCUGGGCAACUUCCCGAUGAGAGGGGAUAACUACUGGAAAAAGUAGCUAAUUACGCCUACCAUCUGAUUUGCACAUAUGGGAUUAGCUAGUAGGUGGGGUAACGGCUCACCUGGGCGACGAGCCCUCGCUGCUCUGAGAGGAUGACCAGCCACACGGGAACGGAGACAGGGCCCAGACGCCGACGGGAGGCAGCAGUGGGGAAGAUUGGACAAUGGGCGCAAGCCGGAUGCAGCCAUGCCGCGUGUAGGAAGAAGGCCUUCGGUUUGUAAAGUACUUUCAGCGAGGAGGCGUUACUCGCAGAAGAAGCACCGGCUAACUCCGUGCCAGCAGCCGCGGUAAUUC
rnacentral:rRNA from 1 species